UAUUUUCAAAGUUAUGAAAAAAUCCUGGGC
rnacentral:piRNA from 1 species